AAGUCGUAACAAGGUUUCCGUAGGUGAACCUGCGGAAGGAUCAUUACCUAAGGCUACAGGUUGGAACUAGUUUCCUCCUGGCUUGAACCUUUCAACCAUCCGUGAACCAAGAAAAUUUUAGCUUCGGCAGCAGCCUGGGUGGGUUACCACCCUCCGGCUUAAGCCUGCCGUUAGCACCUUCAAAACCUGAAAUGAACAAAUCUGUCUGAGUACCAAAUUUUCGAAUGAAAAUCAAAACUUUCAACAACGGAUCUCUUGGUUCCC
rnacentral:misc_RNA from 1 species